UACGUAGGGGGCAAGCGUUGUUCGGAAUUACUGGGCGUAAAGGGCUCGUAGGCGGCCAACUAAGUCGGACGUGAAAUCCCCAGGCUCAACCUGGGAACUGCGUCCGAUACUGGAUGGCUUGAAUUCGGGAGAGGGAUGCAGAAUUCCAGGUGUAGCGGUGAAAUGCGUAGAUAUCUGGAGGAAUACCGGUGGCGAAGGCGGCAUCCUGGACCGACAUUGACGCUGAUGAGCGAAAGCUAGGGGAGCAAACGGGG
rnacentral:rRNA from 1 species